rnacentral:lncRNA from 1 species
GCUGAGGUUUUAAUGGGUCUAGGGUUAGUUGGUAUAGUGCUGAGGUUUUAAUGGGUCUAGGGUUAGUUGGUAUAGUGCUGAGGUUUUAAUGGGUGUAGGGUUAGUUGAUAUAGUGGUGAUGUUUUAAUGGGUGUAGGGUUAGUUAGUUGGUAUAGUGGUGAAGUUUUAAUGGGUGUAGGGUUAGUUGGUAUAGUGCUGAGGUUUUAAUGGGUCUAGGGUUAGUUGGUAUAGUGCUGAGGUUUUAAUGGGUGUAGGGUUAGUUGGUAUAGUGCUGAGGUUUUAAUGGGUGUAGGGUUAGUUGAUAUAGUGGUGAUGUUUUAAUGGGUGUAGGGUUAGUUAGUUGGUAUAGUGGUGAGGUUUUAAUGGGUGUAGGGUUAGUUGGUAUAGUGCUGAGGUUUUAAUGGGUGUAGGGUUAGUUGGUAUAGUGGUGAGGUUUUAAUGGGUGUAGGGUUAGUUGGUAUAGCGGUGAUGUUUUAAUGGGUGCAGGGUUAGUUGGUAUAGUGGUGGGGUUUUAAUGGGUGUAGGGUUAGUUGGUAUAGUGCUGAGGUUUUAAUGGGUGUAGGGUUAGUUAGUUGGUAUAGUGCUGAGGUUUUAAUGGGUGUAGGGUUAGUUGGUAUAGUGCUGAGGUUUUAAUGGGUGUAGGGUUAGUUGGUAUAGUGGUGGGGUUUUAAUGGGUGUAGGGUUAGUUGGUAUAGUGCUGAGGUUUUAAUGGGUGUAGGAUUAGUUGGUAUAGUGCUGAGGUUUUAAUGGGUGUAGGGUUAGUUGGUAUAGUGGUGGGGUUUUAAUGGGUGUAGGGUUAGUUGGUAUAGUGGUGAGUUUUAAUGGGUGUAGGAUUAGUUGCUAUAGUGCUGAGGUUUUAAUGGGUGUAGGGUUAGUAUCUAUAGUGGUGAGUUUUAAUGGGUGUAGAGUUAGUAUCUAUAGUGGUGAGUUUUAAUGGGUGUAGGGUUAGUAUCUAUAGUGGUGAGUUUUAAUGGGUGUAGGGUUAGUAUCUAUAGUGGUGAGUUUUAAUGGGUGUAGAGUUAGUAUCUAUAGUGGUGAGUUUUAAUGGGUGUAGGGUUAGUUGGUAUAGUGCUGAGGUUUUAAUGGGUGUAGAGUUAGUAUCUAUAGUGGUGAGUUUUAAUGGGUGUAGGGUUAGUAUCUAUAGUGGUGAGUUUUAAUGGGUGUAGAGUUAGUAUCUA